CCUACGGGAGGCUGCAGUAGGGAAUCUUCCACAAUGGGCGAAAGCCUGAUGGAGCAACGCCGCGUGGGUGAAGAAGGUCUUCGGAUCGUAAAACCCUGUUGUUAGAGAAGAAAGUGCGUGCGAGUAACUGUUCACGUUUCGACGGUAUCUAACCAGAAAGCCACGGCUAACUACGUGCCAGCAGCCGCGGUAAUACGUAGGUGGCAAGCGUUAUCCGGAUUUGUUGGGCGUAAAGGGAACGCAGGCGGUCUGUUAAGUCUGAUGUGAAAGGCUUCGGCUUAACCGGAGUAGUGCAUUGGAAACUGGGAGACUUGAGGGCAGAAGAGGAGAGUGGAACUCGAGGUGUAGCGGUGAAAUGCGUAGAUAUAGGGAAGAACACCAGUGGCGAAGGCGGCUCUCUGGUCUGUAACUGACGCUGAGGUUCGAAAGCGUGGGUAGCAAACAGGAUUAGAUACCCGAGGAGUC
rnacentral:rRNA from 1 species